rnacentral:lncRNA from 1 species
GACCAUCCUUUCCACCACUCCCCGGGCAAGUUGGAUCAUUACUUCCACUAUCUCCACCAACAUGCAGCCGUCCGAGAAAAUCGACAGCAUGGAGUCGCUUUUACGGAAGUUUGCUGUUCUCUCCGUCCAAGAUAGCAACUCUUGGACAUCAUCGAGCCUGAACACUGCAGCUCCGCAGCAGGACUUUACGCGAAUCCUGCUGGAUCAGUUGGGCGGUGAAGAGACGUGCACUCUGAUUGGAGAAAUAGCCUACCUUAUACAUUGUAUAUAUAUAUGUUAGAAGAUAAUUGUUGUUAUUGUUGCUGUUGUUGUUAUGGUAUAUAUUGUUCUUGCUGCUGUAGGGGAA